rnacentral:rRNA from 1 species
UACAGAGACUGCAAGCGUUAUUCGGAUUCACUGGGCGUAAAGGGUGCGCAGGCGGCCAAGUGUGUGAGGCGUGAAAGCCCGGGGCUUAACCCCGGAAUUGCACCUCAAACUACAUGGCUAGAGCAUUGGAGAGGGUAGCGGAAUUCACGGUGUAGCAGUGAAAUGCGUAGAUAUCGGAAGGAACGCCGGUGGCGAAAGCGACACACUGGAUCUUGUCUGACGCUGAGGCACGAAAGCCAGGGGAGCGAACGGG